UGAGGAAUAUUGGUCAAUGGGCGCAAGCCUGAACCAGCCAUCCCGCGUGAAGGACGACGGCCCUAUGGGUUGUAAACUUCUUUUGUACGGGAAGCACGUGCGCUAUGUAUAGCGUAUUGACGGUACCGUACGAAUAAGCAUCGGCUAACUCCGUGCCAGCAGCCGCGGUAAUACGGAGGAUGCGAGCGUUAUCCGGAUUCAUUGGGUUUAAAGGGUGCGUAGGCGGCCCGGUAAGUCAGCGGUGAAAGUUUGCGGCUCAACCGUAAAAUUGCCGUUGAUACUGUCGGGCUUGAGUUCAGAUGAAGUGGGCGGAAUGAGUAGUGUAGCGGUGAAAUGCUUAGAUAUUACUCAGAACACCGAUUGCGAAGGCAGCCCACUAAACUGCGACUGACGCUGAUGC
rnacentral:rRNA from 1 species